rnacentral:rRNA from 1 species
UUUGAUAUUCCUGUACCACCUCCUCACCAUUUGAGCAAUGGGGGGACGCAGGAGGAUAGGGUAAGCGCGGUAUUGGAUAUCCGCGUCCAAGCAGUUAGGCUGGGAAAUAGGCAAAUCCGUUUCCCAUAAGGCUGAGCUGUGAUGGCGAGCGAAAUAUAGUAGCGAAGUUCCUGAUUCCACACUGCCAAGAAAAGCCUCUAGCGAGGUGAGAGGUGCCCGUACCGCAAACCGACACAGGUAGGCGAGGAGAGAAUCCUAAGGUGAUCGAGAGAACUCUCGUUAAGGAACUCGGCAAAAUGACCCCGUAACUUCGGGAGAAGGGGUGCUCUGUUAGGGUGCAAGCCCGAGAGAGCCGCAGUGAAUAGGCCCAGGCGACUGUUUAGCAAAAACACAGGUCUCUGCGAAGCCGUAAGGCGAAGUAUAGGGGCUGACGCCUGCCCGGUGCUGGAAGGUUAAGAGGAGCGCUUAGCGUAAGCGAAGGUGCGAAUUGAAGCCCCAGUAAACGGCGGCCGUAACAAUAACGGUCCUAAGGUAGCGAAAUUCCUUGUCGGGUAAGUUCCGACCCGCACGAAAGGCGCAACGAUCUGGGCACUGUCUCAACGAGAGACUCGGUGAAAUUAUAGUACCUGUGAAGAUGCAGGUUACCCGCGACAGGACGGAAAGAUCCCGUGGAGCUUUACUGCAGCCUGAUAUUGAAUGUUGGUACAGCUUGUACAGGAUAGGUAGGAGCCUUGGAAACCGGAGCGCCAGCUUCGGUGGAGGCAUCGGUGGGAUACUACCCUGGCUGUAUUGACCUUCUAACCCGCCGCCCUUAUCGGGCGGGGAGACAGUGUCAGGUGGGCAGUUUGACUGGGGCGGUCGCCUCCUAAAAGGUAACGGAGGCGCCCAAAGGUUCCCUCAGAAUGGUUGGAAAUCAUUCGCAGAGUGUAAAGGCACAAGGGAGCUUGACUGCGAGACCUACAAGUCGAGCAGGGACGAAAGUCGGGCUUAGUGAUCCGGUGGUUCCGCAUGGAAGGGCCAUCGCUCAACGGAUAAAAGCUACACCCGGGAUAACAGGCUUAUCUCCCCCAAGAGUCCACAUCGACGGGGAGGUUUGGCACCUCGAUGUCGGCUCAUCGCAUCCUGGGGCUGUAGUCGGUCCCAAGGGUUGGGCUGUUCGCCCAUUAAAGCGGUACGCGAGCUGGGUUCAGAACGUCGUGAGACAGUUCGGUCCCUAUCCGUCGCGGGCGCAGGAAAUUUGAGAGGAGCUGUCCUUAGUACGAGAGGACCGGGAUGGACGCACCGCUGGUGUACCAGUUGUUCUGCCAAGGGCAUCGCUGGGUAGCUAUGUGCGGACGGGAUAAGUGCUGAAAGCAUCUAAGCAUGAAGCCCCCCUCAAGAUGAGAUUUCCCAUUCCGCAAGGAAGUAAGAUCCCUGAAAGAUGAUCAGGUUGAUAGGUCUGAGGUGGAAGUGUGGCGACACAUGGAGCUGACAGAUACUAAUCGAUCGAGGACUUAACC